AUCUCUUGGCCCAAUUGGCAUAUUGGUUAUUUCCUUUCCAAGAGAAAAAAGGUAGAUCUAAAAAAUAUAUAAAAAAAGGUCUCGCUGGCAUGCUCCUAUUCCAGUGCUUUCUAGAUGCAGGGAGGAGCACGGUGGGUUGUCGGUUUGCCCAUUAUCCUUUAAGUGUCCUUUCCCCUUUCUAGAAAAUAUCAAAUGCCCUAUAUUAGCUCGACUACUCUUUUAUUGUCGCAACAUGCAUAUACACACGACUAAAUCCCUGAACCUCGUGCAGAAACUAUGUGCUAUAACUUGGUAACCAACGGCAUUGUUUUCCUUCAUUUUUUUAUUACUCAUCGACAUCUUCACAGCAAGUUUAUGAAGAAAUGCAUAUUUCUGUGUGCUAUCUCUGCUUGAACCUCCGUCAAAGCUCAGAAGACAGGUUCUAUGCAACUGAGAGGUAUUGGGCCUAUGCAAUGUGCUUAUUAGAAUUCCUUGUCCUGGCAGGUGAUAAACCAUAAGCCUUGCGAUCACAAAGCAACUUUAUUAAGGUCCUGCACGAAAAUCCAACACCAUUGCAAGUUGCACUGUCAGUAAGACACAGGGACUUCGCUUGGUCAUCCCCUUGAGCGUGCAUCCGAGAUUGUCUAAAUUGAUUCAACGGUGUUGGAGCGAAAACCUACAUAUGUGCCUGUUUUCUCCAAGAUCACCGCGGAACUGGAAGAUAUAUUGUAGCCUAUUCAGGCCUCCUCCAGCUCCAAAGGAGUUCAUCGACAUUGCAAACCAAAGAUAGUUAAAUCACGUCGGCAACACCCAGGCCUUUAUGGCCUGGUCCUCUAUUUUUCACAUUGUCGCCUUGAAUAAUCGUGUGUGCGUCGACUGUUCCCUGUAUAUAUGUCAUGUAUAUUGAAUUUUGUGCUCGGUCUCCUAAAAUACACGCAGGGAGAACUGGGUUAGGUUGUCGCAUGCAUGCUCGUGCAACAUAACCUAGAGGUGAUAUAGUUUUAUGUGUUGCAUGGUUUUUGGUUUGCAACUGGCUAAUAGUUAUGUACCCUUUGCAUUCUGGUUCAUGUACAAUGAUGAGUUGGCCUUGUAAGAAAGAACAGAUGAAAAUGCCAUCACAUUUUCCUUUUCGGUAUUAUUCAAUAUAUUUUUCUUGUC